rnacentral:rRNA from 1 species
AAAGCCCCGACGGGAGGGGAUGGCUCCGCGGCCCAUCAGGUAGACGGCGGGGUGACGGCCCACCGUGCCGACAACGGGUAGCCGGGUUGAGAGACCGACCGGCCAGAUUGGGACUGAGACACGACCCAGACUCCUACGGGAGGCAGCAGUGGGGAAUCUUGCGCAAUGGGGGGAACCCUGACGCAGCGACGCCGCGUGCGGGACGGAGGCCUUCGGGUCGUAAACCGCUUUCAGCAGGGAAGAGUCAAGACUGUACCUGCAGAAGAAGCCCCGGCUAACUACGUGCCAGCAGCCGCGGUAAUACGUAGGGGGCGAGCGUUAUCCGGAUUCAUUGGGCGUAAAGCGCGCGUAGGCGGCCCGGCAGGCCGGGGGUCGAAGCGGGGGGCUCAACCCCCCGAAGCCCCCGGAACCUCCGCGGCUUGGGUCCGGUAGGGGAGGGUGGAACACCCGGUGUAGCGGUGGAAUGCGCAGAUAUCGGGUGGAACACCGGUGGCGAAGGCGGCCCUCUGGGCCGAGACCGACGCUGAGGCGCGAAAGCUGGGGGAGCGAACAGGAUUAGAUACCCUGGUAGUCCCAGCCGUAAACGAAAGACGCUAGGUGUGGGGGGACGAUCUCCCCGUGCC